rnacentral:rRNA from 1 species
GGUUCGGGCUCUGCUUGCGCAGGAUAGGUGGGAGGCUAAGAGACAUUCCUUGUGGGGGAUGAGGAGCCGUCAGUGAGAUACCACUCUAGCAGGGCUAGAAUUCUAACCAAAGGGACAGUGUCAGGUGGGCAGUUUGACUGGGGCGGUCGCCUCCUAAAUGGUAACGGAGGCGCGCAAAGGUUCCCUCAGGCUGGUUGGAAAUCAGCCGAAGAGUGUAAAGGCAGAAGGGAGCUUGACUGUGAGACCAACAAGUCGAGCAGGGACGAAAGUCGGUCUUAGUGAUCCGACGGCACUGAGUGGAAGGGCCGUCGCUCAACGGAUAAAAGUUACUCUAGGGAAAACAGGCUGA